rnacentral:rRNA from 1 species
UACGUAGGGGGCUAGCGUUGUCCGGAAUCAUUGGGCGUAAAGAGCGUGUAGGCGGUCCGGUAAGUCCGCUGUGAAAGUCGGGGGCUCAACCCUCGAAUGCCGGUGGAUACUGUCGGGCUAGAGUGCGGAAGAGGCGAGUGGAAUUCCUGGUGUAGCGGUGAAAUUCGUAGAUAUUCGGCGGAACACCAGUGGCGAAGGCGACUCACUGGCCCGAUACUGACGCUGAGGCGCGAAAGCGUGGGGAGCAAACAGG